UCAAACUUGGUCAUUUAGAGGAAGUAAAAGUCGUAACAAGGUCUCCGUUGGUGAACCAGCGGAGGGAUCAUUAUAGAGUGUAAAACUCCCUAAACCUAUGUGAAUCUACCACUGUUGCCUCGGCGGGAUACGCCCGGAGCCCCCUUCGCGGGGACCGGGGCCGGCCCGCCGGAGGACCCAAACUCUAAGUUGAUUUUUUGGAACUGUCUGAGUGGCGCAAGCAAAUAAAUCAAAACUUUCAACAACGGAUCUCUUGGUUCUGGCAUCGAUGAAGAACGCAGC
rnacentral:misc_RNA from 1 species